UGGGGAAUUUUGGACAAUGGGGGAAACCCUGAUCCAGCCAUCCCGCGUGUGCGAUGAAGGCCUUCGGGUUGUAAAGCACUUUUGGCAGGAAAGAAACGUCAUGGGUUAAUACCCCGUGAAACUGACGGUACCUGCAGAAUAAGCACCGGCUAACUACGUGCCAGCAGCCGCGGUAAUACGUAGGGUGCAAGCGUUAAUCGGAAUUACUGGGCGUAAAGCGUUCGCAGGCGGUUCGGAAAGAAAGAUGUGAAAUCCCAGAGCUCAACUUUGGAACUGCAUUUUUAACUACCGGGCUAGAGGGUGUCAGAGGGAGGUGGAAUUCCGCGUGUAGCAGUGAAAUGCGUAGAUAUGCGGAGGAACACCGAUGGCGAAGGCAGCCUCCUGGGAUAACACUGACGCUCAUGCACGAAAGCGUGGGGAGCAAACAGG
rnacentral:rRNA from 1 species